AUUGAACGCUGGCGGAAUGCUUAACACAUGCAAGUCGAGCGGGGUGUAGCAAUACACCUAGCGGCGGACGGGUGAGGAAUACAUAGGAAUCUGCCUCAGAGCGGGGGACAGCCCGGGGAAACCCGGAUUAAUACCGCAUGAUGUCGCAAGACCAAAGUGGGGGACCGCAAGGCCCCACACUCUGAGAUGAGCCUAUGUCCGAUUAGCUAGUUGGCGGGGUAAUAGCCCACCAAGGCGACGAUCGGUAGCUGGUCUGAGAGGACGAUCAGCCACACCGGAACUGAGACACGGUCCGGACUCCUACGGGAGGCAGCAGUGGGGAAUAUUGGACAAUGGGCGCAAGCCUGAUCCAGCAAUUCCGCGUGGGUGAAGAGGGCCUGG
rnacentral:rRNA from 1 species